AUGUCCUUAUGUGUUGCUGGUUUUUGCAAGUUCGUGUUUGUAAUUUCACGGAACAUUAGACUUUCAAGUUUCAACAUUAUACAGUCCCUGCAAUGGUUCCAUUAUAAGUAUCUGCAGAUUAUAUGUAAUCAACUUGAAGUUUUUCUGUUUUUGAUACUCUUGAAGCAAAGACUUUAGCAUCUUUGAUAUAUAACUUUUGAAAGCAGAAUGAGCCACUUGUGACAUGCUCAUUGUAAGCCUUAAAAUUUUAUCUAUCAAAUGAUCGAAGACUAUGUCAUUAAUUAUCUGCAAUAUGAGUUGCUUAGACUUUAUCUGUCAAAUGAUACGAGACUCUUUGGUGAUUUGUAAUAUGAGUUAUGCACUUUUUAAGUGUAAUCAGUUGGAUGCAUAUUGUUUUUCGCUGCAUGAGUAAUUUGUUUUUAACGAGCUAAGAAGUGGGUUUUUGAAUUGCAAAGACAAGCAAAUCCAACUUUAAUAAUGUUCUUGGCUGGAAACAAGGCUGACUUGGAAGAGAAGAGAAAAGUAGGGACUGAGAAAAGUAGUCCUCACUUAGGAAGCAUAGAUCUAUCAGGGCAGAAAUGGUUAGGAAGUAGAGACGAUACGUCGUCUGCAGAAGGCAAGCAGAAAACAAGUAGUGAAGUCUUUGACCAUUGCGCAAUAGAUACACUGCUGAUUUCUCAUGGGACAAGUACACUCUUCAUGAAGGACCUUUUGAGGAGGUCGGAGCAACGUGUUGAAACUUUUAUCAAUGGGGUAGAUUAGUUUAUGCUGUUGUUAACGAACUGUAUUUCAUGGUUUGAGUAUGACUUUCAUCAUUGGGAUAUAUGAUAAUACAUUGGAAGUUAUAUGUCUUUUUAAAUAAUAUCAAACAAUAGAAAGUUACCAACAACUAUGGUUUGAAACAAGUACACACAACAGAAAGAUCAAAGAUACUUCAAGCAUCUACACAUUCAAAGGACAUUUAAAUGUCCUUUUACAACAAUAGAGACAAUAGAUAACUAAUAGUGGAUGUUGUUUCAAUAAAGUUCACACAACAGAUUUGGCAAAGAAACAUGGAAAUUCUACACAUUCAGACGACAUUUUAUUGUCGUCUCGCAUUAAAACAGACAAUAGAUUAUUUGUAAAGUCUGUUGCUAGAGUUUGACAACAACAACAUUUGACUGUCGUUCUAUUUCAUAUCUAACCACAUAUACUUACAAUUUGUACAUAUUUAAGCACAUUCAGACGACAGAUUUUUUUUAGGUGUCUGUCGUCUGAGUGAAUUUCUGACGUCGGGCUUUAACCGUCGUCUGAACGUCAAUCAGAUAUCAGCUUACUAGACGACAGAUUUUUUGCAUAUCAGACGACGGUCAUUGUCUGUC